rnacentral:misc_RNA from 1 species
GAUGAAGAACGCAGCGAAAUGCGAUACGUAAUGUGAAUUGCAGAAUUCAGUGAAUCAUCGAAUCUUUGAACGCAUAUUGCGCUCUCUGGUAUUCCGGAGAGCAUGCUUGUUUGAGUAUCAGUAAACACCUCAACUCCUUUAUUGUAGUUGGACUUGAGCUAUCCCAACAGGACUUUUUGUUCCUGGCGGGAGGCUUGAAAUGCAGGUGCAGCUGGACUUUCUUCUGAGCUAUAAGCAUAUUUAUUUAAUCCCUUAACACGGAUUAUUACUUUUUUGCUGCAGCUAACAUAAAGGUUGAAUUUCCAUUGAGCUGACUGAUGCAGGAAUUUGGCAAGGAAUUUUUUUAAUGACUUGUUAAACUCGAUCUCAAAUCAAGUAAGACUACCCGCUGAACUUAAGCAUAUCAAUAAGCGGAGGA